UACAGGGGGUGCAAACGUUGCUCGGAAUUAUUGGGCGUAAAGCGCGCGUAGGCGGCCACUUAAGUCGGAUGUGAAAGCCCCUGGCUCAACUGGGGAAGUGCACCCGAAACUGAAUGGCUUGAAUGCAGAAGAGGGUCGCGGAAUUCCCAGUGUAGAGGUGAAAUUCGUAGAUAUUGGGAAGAACACCGGUGGCGAAGGCGGCGACCUGGUCCGUGACUGACGCUGAGGCGCGAAAGCGUGGGGAGCAAACAGG
rnacentral:rRNA from 1 species